UACGUAGGGUGCGAGCGUUAAUCGGAAUUACUGGGCGUAAAGCGUGCGCAGGCGGUGAUGUAAGACAGGUGUGAAAUCCCCGGGCUUAACCUGGGAACUGCAUUUGUGACUGCAUUGCUGGAGUGCGGCAGAGGGGGAUGGAAUUCCGCGUGUAGCAGUGAAAUGCGUAGAUAUGCGGAGGAACACCGAUGGCGAAGGCAGCCCCCUGGGUCAAGACUGACGCUCAUGCACGAAAGCGUGGGGAGCAAACAGG
rnacentral:rRNA from 1 species